rnacentral:lncRNA from 1 species
GCCAUUGGUGGGGUGGAACAUAUUGAUUUGGUUUUCAAGAUUUUGUGAUCGGGGUCAGCCGACCUGCUGCAUACAAAUUAUUGGACCAUUCUCUUCUCAUGGCUGCUUCUCCUUUAGAGUCUAUGCAGGUCGAAUCUUUUGUCUUCCCCGUUAUAUUACUUGUGUGCACUUUUUCCCUGUUUCUGUUAAGAGGGAGUACCAAGUAAAAAAAUGUCAGAUUAUAUUUCUUCUUCUGUUUUAGUUAUGAAGUAACGAACUAUGCUUAUUAUACUCUUCAACAUGUGCAUGGUUAAUACCUGCCUCCCCAUCCCCAGUCCAUUAUGUGAUUUAUAUUUGUUCUGUUUCCCCUUGGAAUGAACUGACUCCAGUGAAAUAUUUGCAAGAAUCCUGUUCUAAACUUGAUUAGUAAUGUCUGGGGUUUCAGCUUGGUGGUGAGGUGCUUGAGGUCGUGUCUCCGCGUCAGGAACCUCUUCUUAAGCAUGCCAGUACUUCGUGGUGGUGAGGUCUGUCUUGAAGGUCCCGUUGUUUGAUUCUUAAAUACCAAUAGGAGUCGGUCAGUGAACAAGUGAUGCAAUAACAUUCAGGCAAGCAUUGUUCUAUGCAUUUUCAUCGUUGUACGUAGUUUUGAGAAAAGCUUUGGAGAGUUCAAACCAACCCUACUCUUGCAUUUUCUGAACUCUCUGUGAAAUAUGCAGUAAAACUCGGUUACAAUGUUUAUCAUUGGAACAUAAACUACAAUAUUGCAUUACUACUAGCUUCAUGGGUAUUAGUGUUCUGAUAACUGUUCUUUCUAAAUGAAGCUUUCAUAUAUUUUCACUCAAUGGCCAAGCGGUGAAUUACUAAUCUCUGUUCUAUAGAAUCAUACUGAAUAUAUUCACUCAUUUUCAAGUACUAUUACAGAGCUUUCACAUAUCCUGCUUGACCGGACAACAGUGGUUGUGAAGUCUGUUGAGCAGAUGACCAUGGUGGGGAGGCGGGUGUUGAGCCGCUGAUGGAGGCACUACCCAACCCCUAUGUUUUAUGCAUGUUUCUUUGUGAAAAUUGUGAUUACUGGUGAUGAUCAAGUCGAAUGGAAUCUUGAUUAGUCAGAUUGCUUUACUUUUGAACCACCUGAACUAUCUGUAAUGGAUCAUCAGAUAUCAACAUGCUACCUAUGGGUUCGUAUGUGUUUAAUUAUCACCAUGAUUAAU